rnacentral:rRNA from 1 species
GGAUUAGAUACCCUGGUAGUCCACGCCGUAAACGAUGUCUACUAGUUGUCGGUUGUCUUGUACGACGGGUAACGCAGCUAACGCGAUAAGUAGACCGCCUGGGGAGUACGGCCGCAAGGUUAAAACUCAAAUGAAUUGACGGGGGCCCGCACAAGCGGUGGAGCAUGUGGUUUAAUUCGAAGCAACGCGAAGAACCUUACCUGGCCUUGACAUCCUGCGAACCCUUAGAGAUAGGGGGGUGCCUUCGGGAGCGCAGUGACAGGUGCUGCAUGGCUGUCGUCAGCUCGUGCCG